UUAUUAUUUAUUAUCUAAACGAUAUCUUGAUGUAUUCUAAAAAUACAAAAGAAUAUGAACUUCAUAUUUUUUGUAUGUUACAAAAAUUAAAAGAUCUAAGACUCUAUGUCAAGAUAGAAAAGUGUGUAUAUCCAUACUAUUCAAGUUGACUUCUAAGUUUAUAUCAUUUCAAACAAUGGACUACUGAUAGAUCCUAAGAAAAUUUAAACUAUUAUAGAUUUGAAGAUCCCAAAAAU
rnacentral:lncRNA from 1 species